AGCGGCGGACGGGUGAGUAACGCGUGGGUGACCUGCCCCAUACCGGGGGAUAACAGCUGGAAACGGCUGCUAAUACCGCAUAAGCGCACAGAGCCGCAUGGCUCGGUGUGAAAAACUCCGGUGGUAUGGGAUGGGCCCGCGUCUGAUUAGGCAGUUAGCGGGGUAACGGCCCACCAAACCGACGAUCAGUAGCCGGCCUGAGAGGGCGACCGGCCACAUUGGGACUGAGACACGGCCCAA
rnacentral:rRNA from 1 species